UGCUGUUCAUUAAUAAAUAAAAUCAGUGUGAGAAGAGUAACUCUGCCCUGGACUGUUUCCCUGAAACACCUCACCGAGCUGUGCUUUGAAAUAUAUAUGAAAUAUAAUUCCUAGUUUCACUGAUUCUGUGGAGUUCUCGAGUUAUAUCCAAUAGGAUGCGUCUAUUUUGAUCACGUGACUGAAGAACCGCUAAUUGGCGGUCUAAUUAAACGCGUCGCUUAAUUGACGAUAGUGGUUUGUAACAGUCGAGCAGCUUAGCAAACGUAUCGAAAUGUAUACUUUUUUUUAAAAAAAAAAUUUAAAAGUGGAGCUCAAAAGCGAAGAGAGAGGAAAGAGAAAGAAUUUGACAAGGCAAAGCUUCUGUAAUUAGGUAAUUUCUUCCUGUACCUUGCUCCACACUUGACGCUGAACUUGCUGCGGAAUUAAUUGCCUUUAUUUGUGGAAAGGAAAUGGCGUCGAAUGACCAACAAAUGACUGUGACUCUCCAAAAAAUUACACAAGGCCUUCCCUCUGGACUCGGCUCAAGUCAAACUACAGCACCCCAAUUACUCUGCACAGAGAUGCGACUGCUGUGAUUUUUGUUAUGUACAACCAUGUGUAAAGAAACUUUUUGUGUAAACAUUUUUCCUUUAAUCAGACUUCAUACUGCUUCUUUAAAAUCUCUAUUUGGUAAUCAUAUUGUAGAAAUUUAACAAGAAUAAUACAAGAACAAUAUUUUCUUGAGGGUACCACCCUACACACUCAGAAAAAAGUAUUCUUUGUCGCUAGGAUGGUACCAUUAUGUUUUGUACCUUUACUGAGUAUCUUUCUCGUGAAAAAGUGGAUAGUGUACCUCUAACACCCAUAUGUGGGCUUUCCUCAAAGUUUUACUACAAGUUGGAAGCAGACAAUUGUACAGAAUGUCUAUGUACGCUGCAGCAUUAAGAUUUCCUUUCAAUGAAACCAAGAGUCCCAAACCUGUUCCAGCAUGACGGUGCCCCUGUGCACAAAGUGAACUCCAUGGUGUGUUAAGGUUAGAGUGGAAGAACUCGAGUGUCCUGCACAGAGCCCUGACCUCAACCGUACUGAACAGUUUGGGAUGAACUGGAACACCGACUGCACCCCAGACCUCCUCGACAUCCCAACAUCGGUGCCUCACCUCACUAAUGCUCUUGCUAAUGCUCUUGUAGCUGAAUGAACACAAAUCCCCACAGCAACACUCAAAUCUAGUGGAAAGCCUUCACAGAAGAGUGGUGGUUAUUAUAACAGCAAAGACUAAAUCUGGAAAGGGAUGUUUUUUAAAAAAAAAAAAAAAAAAAAAAAGUACAUAUGGGUCUGAUGGUCAGGUGUCUACAAACUUAGUACCCUCUAGUGUAUUAUACUGGACCAUAAUUACUUUCUGAGAUAAAGCUUUAAAGGUACACUACAUGAACAUUUCAUGGUAAAAUAUAGAUGCUAAAGAUACAAAAGAUGUAUGCUUCAGGGUACCAUCCCAGGGACAAGGAAUGGUACA